GAGAUACAAAGGGACUUUUGUGGUCCGCUUUCCUUGCUGAUGGAGAGGAAUAGUGUCACUCCCAUUUGACUCGGUAACCCGGCAGCUUCCUGUCUUAAACGCAGAGCUGGCGCGCAGGACACUCCUCCUGCAGACACUUAUUCUCCAGCUGUCUCUUGGACGCCUCCACUGGAAGGCCGACGGGCAUCUUCAAUUUCACGUGUUCACUUCAGAGCACCCCUGAGCCGGCUACCCCUGCUCCCCUGAUCUGCGCCUUCCCAGUUUCUCCCAGUCACCCAGCUGGCCACCGCGCAGGAGACAUCCCUGAUCCUUCAUUUUCUCUCUGGAGUCACCCCCUGUCAAUUAGCAAGGCCUGUUGGCUCUGCCUCCACAUCUGUUCCACAGCUCCCCCAUACUCCUCCGUCCUCCACUAGCCCCCAAGCCCUUUCCCCUGCACCUGCAGGGUUGCAUGGCCUCUUAACCAGCUCUCCACCUCACACGUGUGCCCUGUGGUUCACUGUUCUCCAUACAACAGAGUAAGCUUCAGCUCAGACCUAUCCUUGGUCAAAACCAGUGGUUUCCACGUGCACUGAGAAUUAGACACAUUCUUACAAUGUCCUUCAAGGCACCAUGAAAUCCACCCACCACUUCCCUUAACUGAGGUUCUAAGUCUAGUUUUGCCAGUUCUUGAGCCUCCAAGCCAUGGCCACCUCAGGGGAGCUCUUUUCCUUUGGUCCUGGCUCUUUAUUCAUCUGGUACAUUCUUUCUGUGCAUCUUUGGGCACAGACUGUCCCCCAGAGAAAGGUCAUACGAUCUAAAAUGACUCCCUAAUCCAGUUCUGUUCCCCACAGCACUUACGGCUACUUGCAGUUGUAAAGGUGUUGGUGCGUUUUUUAUUGGUCUCUCAUCUAGAACGUACCUUCCGGAGGGCAGGGCCUUGUCAUCUUCCUGGCUGUACCCCCAGUCCUGCUAAAGGGACUGGCAUACAGUAACAUGAAGCCAGUGCUCUCAGACUUUCUGGUCACAGGACUGCUUUAUGCUCUUAGGAAUUACUGAGCUCCCGAAAGAGCUUUUGUAUAUAGCAACAGAUAGAUUUAGACAUCUAUCCAGUGAUUUGCACAGUAUUAGAGAUUGAAAUCGUAAUGUUUUAAAUAUAUUGAUUAAUUGAUUCAUUUACAAUGACAAUAAAAACCCACUUCAUGUUUACUUAACAUAUUUUUAUGAACAUUUAUUCUAUUCCCCCAAACAAAAAAAAAAUAGUCUGAAGAGUGGUCUACAUUUUUGUACCCCUCUUUAAUAUCUGGCUUAAUUAAUAGAAGAUAGUUGGAUUCUCAUUUUUCCUUGUGCAAUCCAUUAUUUUGGUUCAAGUAUAUGAAGAAAAUGCAAUCUGUCACAGAUAUGUAGUUGAAAACUGGAGGAGUAUUUUUCAGCCUUGGCAGAUAAUUGUGGAUAUUUUUCCUUGAUAUUACCCCAAAAUUCAACAAAUGGUGGUUUCUUAAAGGUUGGUUGCAAUGUGGAAUCUGAAACCAUGUCAAUGAACAUUUCGUACUCUAUUACAUUAAAAUCCAU
ensembl:lncRNA